rnacentral:rRNA from 1 species
ACACACCGCCCGUCGCUACUACCGAUUGAAUGGCUCAGUGAGGCGUCCGGACUGGCCCAGAGAGGCGGGCAACUGCCACUCAGGGCCGGAAAGCUCUCCAAACUCGGUCAUUUAGAGGAAGUAAAAGUCGUAACAAGGUCUCCGUUGGUGAACCAGCGGAGGGAUCAUU